UCUCAAGAUCAAGAAAACCUGCCUUUCCCCACCCUAGAAAGUGCGUACGACCAGAUAUACUGCCAAUAACUCACUCCCACAACUUAAAAAAGCCAAGGUGCCAUAAAGGACACUGUCAUACAAAGCUGUCGCAUUGCUACAGCGACUUCCAAGCAGGAGUCCCCAAGUGCCACCAAUUCUCAGCUGCUCUGCAAGAGGCUACAUGACACACAGCUUGUAUUGCGAGCAGAGCCGUGGGACGGAUGUCAGGGAAGGAGCCUGUAAAAGUGCUACAAAUAGCCUGGGCUCUGAGACUCAUUUCUGCACUCGGGGGUGGAUUCCUGAAGCAGCAUAGCAAAGAAAUACGUCAGUGCCUUUUCAUGUGAUGUUAUCAGCUCGGGGAGACAGAGGCAGGCUGGACAGGCUGGGGAACGGCAGGAAAUGCAGCCAGUAGCUUGUUUGGUUUCCAGGCAGUGGCCUGGUCACUCAGCCCUAGCAGAAAGAAUUAGUCAUGUGCAGAAAGAUGAUGGGAAUGGAAACACGUGCGUGGCCCAGCCAGAGCACAGCAGCUCCAAAAGACAGGUUCAACAUUUCAUUCCCCUGGGUGUAAAAAAGGCUACUGGGAAAUUGAACGCUGAAGCUAACUUGAGCUGUUUGGUGUUCAUCAGAUCCCAGGCUGGCAAUUAUUUGGGCAACAGAAGGAAAUACUUUCCCCAUGUUCUGAGCCAUGUUCUACAGGGAAAGCAAGGCAAUGCAGUGCUUCUAAGCAUCCCACUCUGACUGAUCUGCAUUAUACCAAGCUGGGCAUGGUCCCAACCCAGUGUGAAAGCAGGUUGGGAUGCCUCAAGAUGGGCACAACAACCAGCAGCAUGCUGAGCAGAGGGAUCCUUCUGCCAGGAAACAGGGAUGUCCUGCCUCCAAGGGCACCUCAGCCUCAGUGUGAUGCAUCAGCAUUCUUUCCAGUCUCAAGGGUCUCUUAUAUGCUUUUGGGGAACUGUCUUUCCGGGCUGUGAGGCUGCUCUAUGCCUGCCUAUUUUCUGCUGCAUGUACCAGCAUGCCUCCAUAAGCAAAGGCUCCCCAGAGGUCUCAGACCUGAAAUAAUGUGAAUUGGAACAAAGAAAAAAGGAAGAAUCAACCUGGCAUCUCUUCACUUCUACAUCAAGAGCGCAUUGUUUUCCAAGCUGUUGUUCUUUGUUUUCACUUGACUCCGAGUGAACUGAUUUCUGCCCACACCCAAAAGGAACAAUGCGGGUGUUUGAGACUGCUCCUGACUCUGCACUGCCUCCAGACUGAACAAACACGUUGCAGAGUGCAGGGAAGUGAUGCAUUCUGCAGUCCUUUGGUAAUCUCACAGAAGGACCAACAUUUAAGAUCCAUACAUAUUUGCAAAAGUCCCAGCAUCCUGGAGCACUGAGAUAACCAGAGAAUAUUGGUCUCUUGGUAUGAAACUUUAAAAUGCCUCUGGAUACAGGAAAGCUGCAGAGAACAGAAGCCCACGGAUUCUGGGGAGCUGCUGUUCUUCAGCAGGAGUUUGAGUUUGGUCAUAAAGAGGCCCUGUAAAUGUAACAAAUGGAGAAUUCAUGACAUGUUUGAUUGGUGGUUCAUGAUGAUGGCAAAACAGGCACUUUGCUGUAGGAGCUGCACCCCUUGGUGUGUGUGUCAGCGCCCAGAGGAAGUAACGUGGUGGUCUCUGUAUUCUGCAUUUGCACUGGUGAUCUACAAAUAAAUACAGCAUUGCAGUAAAAACAUUAACAGGUACCAUCAAGAAUUUGGGAAGGUGACUAAGAGACCAUGGCAGUGAUACCACAAGGGUGGUUUUUUUUUCAAGCCAGAUGCAUUUAACACAAGUAAAGAUGUCAAUUCAUCUAGGAUCAAA